rnacentral:rRNA from 1 species
GACGAACGCUGGCGGCGUGCCUAAUCCAUGCAAGUAGAACGCUGAAGGAGGAGCUUGCUUCUCUGGAUGAGUUGCGAACGGGUGAGUAACGCGUAGGUAACCUGCCUGGUAGCGGGGGAUAACUAUUGGAAACGAUAGCUAAUACCGCAUAAUAGUAGAUGUUGCAUGACAUUUGCUUAAAAGGUGCAAUUGCAUCACUACCAGAUGGACCUGCGUUGUAUUAGCUAGUUGGUGGGGUAACGGCUCACCAAGGCGACGAUACAUAGCCGACCUGAGAGGGUGAUCGGCCACACUGGGACUGAGACACGGCCCAGACUCCUACGGGAGGCAGCAGUAGGGAAUCUUCGGCAAUGGACGGAAGUCUGACCGAGCAACGCCGCGUGAGUGAAGAAGGUUUUCGGAUCGUAAAGCUCUGUUGUAAGAGAAGAACGAGCGUGAGAGUGGAAAGUUCACACUGUGACGGUAUCUUACCAGAAAGGGACGGCUAACUACGUG